UAUUCCCCCUCAUCCCAUCCCUCCCUGCCCUUGUCCCAAGCCCCUCCCCAGCUUUCCUGGAGCCCCUUCAGGCCCUGGAAGGUGCUCUAAGGUCUCCCUGGAGCCUUCUCUUCUCCAGGCUUCCAUAAUGAGUCAAAUCACAGAAAACUCCCAGGAAGACUUUACCUGUUACUAAUUGCUCUCUUAAUGAGCUGGUAUGUUAGGAGGUGAAUUUGCUGUCACUGUUCAGUCAGCUUUUGCAUGAUCCUUGGAACGUGAUCCCCACCUGGUCAGUGGAUCACAGAGAGAUCUUUGCCCAAGGCUGGUGAAGUACCUGCCCUUGGUGAUACCAAAACCUGGUUCUGUUCUUCUGAGUGUGCAGAUGUGCUGCAAUUCAGACAAUAAAAAGAUGACAAGACCAACUGUGCACUCCUGUGUCUUCUCACAGACACUCUCCUGUGGACUGUGCAGUAGAAAAGACAGGGACUGGGAAGCAGAACUGAGGGAAAGAGGCCGCGCUAGUUUCUGAUUGGUUUGAUCCUCCUGAUCUUUGGAUAUUUCACCCGCCUUGUUGCAAUGAACCUUGUUCUUCAUCCCUCAGAACUUCACCUGGGAAGAGUUGGACGUCAGCUCUGCUGUGGGGAUUGGGUUUUUCAAAGCAAUCACUCCUCACCUCACCCCAAACAACCAGUUCCUCUUCAGCCCUUAGCAUCAAAGUUCAUGUUCUAAACCUGGAAAGUGCGAAGCUUGAAGGAAAUGUUGGAAUUCUGAUAAGCAGGCCAGGGUUUUGGAGUAAUAUUCACCUCUAACAGCUGUGAACAUGACUGGAAAAAAAAUACAGAGGAGGAGCUGGACUGGGGCUCCUUUCAUUUGUCAACAUAUGCAGUUUAUAAAGUGGACAUAAUUAAUUAGUGUGAGUUAUUUAGGAUGUUGCUAUGCAAGGAAGUGCAUCAACAUGGAAAAUAAACUGGAUAGUAAAUGUGGCCACAGGCUGAACUUGGAUCCUGGCUCUGGAUUUAAGCCCCCAGAUAAAGCAGGGGUGUCUUGCUUGUUAAAUCCUCCUGUUUGUGCCUUCUGGGAUGGUGUUUCUGUUCUUACUUGCAGUGAAACCCUCCACAAGAGCCACCUGUAUCACAAAGCUGGCCUAAAUGAGGCACUUCACUGAGCUUUUUUUCCAAGAACAGGUCAAUCAUCCUAUGCUGUUGUGAAGAGUUAAGUAAAAAAGAAUGUAAAAGUCAGGUGAAAAGAAAGGAACUGCCUGAGUCUGGCCGGGGGUGCAGGAGAUCACCUGCUGGGAUGCAAAGCAGUGCACCAAGUCUUGCUGGAGACCAAGAAGUAGACAGAAAAUAAUGAAGUCCUCACCUGAGAGAACAAUCUCUCUUAUCAAUUCAGUUUAGUUAGAAAACAUCCAUCUGUUUGGAAAUGUAUUAAAUUCCCUAAAAGCAAGAUUUGCAGAAGGUCUUGGGCACCUUGUGGUGGACGUUGAGCAGAAUUUACUGGAACAACUAGCAGCUUCAGUUACCCUGGAGGCUUCCAGAAAAUGUCAGAUUAGGUAUAUUUAGGGACCAGAGUACUUCAGCAAAUCUGAAGUACUUCAGCAUUCCAGCUGUCUGGUUUUAUUGAAAUACUGUGGAGGAAGAAUCAAGAAAUCAAAAAUAUUUGAAAAAAAUUAUCAUUCUCAACUCACUUCAAGUGUGAUUUCUUUGAGGGAAGGUUUCUCUGUGACGUGGUACUUCCCAUGAGUUGGUUUGCACAGGUACCUGGGUGCCAAAGACUGAAAUACACCUAUAAAAUACUGCAACUAUGUGCACAAAAAUUCUUGAAGUUCAGAAGGUUUUAGGUUCCUGAUUAUUUUGAAGGGCUGAUUCUGCAGGCAAAGGCAACUCGGGCAAGUUAAACUGAGCAUGAUCAGCCUCAGAUGAUGUCUAAACUGGCAAUGAAUUCUGUGCAAAAUGCUCUCGAUUCAGUUUUGCUCGUAGGACAGAGAGAAAUUCUACCCACCCAGCUGCUCUAAUGACAGCAACACAAGAUGCUGGAAUUGCCCAAAUGUAGGAAUCUUGCUCCAGUCUUCUGGGAGCCCCUGGGCUCUCUUGGGUGGGUCCUUGGAGUCAUUCCCUCUUGGUUUCUGGACAGUGCAGAGCACAACUGCUGGAAGAACAGUGUUCUCAGAGGCUGCAGGUAAAGGAAACAAAGAGAACUUGGUUAUACUCUUCAUCAAUGAGAAGUAAUUCUGUUUUACUGACCUGCCUGAUGCAUGAGAGAAGGGACUGUCCUCCCUGUGCACUUUUCUGAUUGUUAGAACACGCUCGAUGAACCAAAUCAUCUUUGGGUUUCAGAGACUUGACAUCAUUUUUGCUUUCCAUUCCACCUGCUUGCAGUAGUUUCAUGGAAGUGGUCUAGAAGGCCACGUUUGCUGCAGUGAAUCUCUUGCUUGGUUUUAGAUGAUAGUGCUGUACCUUUCUUUCAUUGUCCUAUUGGAAAAAUAAAGGAUUUGAAAUGUGAA